rnacentral:ncRNA from 1 species
GCUUCUUAGAGGGACUAUCGCCGUUUAGGCGACGGAAGUUUGAGGCAAUAACAGGUCUGUGAUGCCCUUAGAUGUUCUGGGGCGCACGCGCGCUACACUGAUGUAUUCAACGAGUAUAUAGCCUUGGCCGACAGGCCCGGGUAAUCUUGGGAAAUUUCAUCGUGAUGGGGAUAGAUCAUUGCAAUUGUUGGUCUUCAACGAGGAAUGCCUAGUAAGCGCGGG